AUCCGUGAAACAGCAAAUGUAUUUGCUCUGAAACAGCUUUCGCUGGAAGAAGAGAUUGCUUUUUCUCCCUGUUUAUCGCUCUUCCUCAUCGGAAGAGUGGCCCUUUAAGACCAAGGUUCGCGUUUGUAGUGUGUUCUUUCACUUAAGCUUUUUAAAGGGCAAGAUAGAAGAGCCUCAUCCUUGCCAGGUAUGUUCUGUCUGCAGACCAGAGUUCUGAACACUGCCAGCUGAUUCCCUAGCCAGUGGCUUUGGGAGAACGGAUUUUUUUUUUCCUUCUUUCUCCCUGUUCUCUUCAUGUCCCCUGACCUAUUUUCCUAGAACACAACUCUAGUCUCCCCUUUUCCUUCCUACUGCAAACCUAUUGUGUGAGUUAUUAAAAAACAAGCGAUCUUGUAAAAUUACCCGUUGCUUCAAAUUACUGCUACUAUAAGUCUCUGACUAGUUAAUUCAUUUGGAAGGCUUUGCAUUUGUUAUUAUAUUGAGUUCGUUGCUCUGAAUCAAAGCAAAGGAGUGGGUGGAGGUGGAGAGUUCUUUUUGUGGUUGCUUAUGAGUCAGACUGCGCCUCGAAGGUAUCUGCGUGCAUCUUAAGAUGUUUACUUAAUAGCUUUUGCUACCUUCCUCCUUGGGAUGUUGCACUCUCCUCAGUCUGGAUCUUCCAGGUGACUGGAGAAAAAGGGGAAAGGGCUUCAGGGGGGAGCAAGCCAAGUCUGGCCCGGUUCUGUACAUGUGGUCUAAGUUUAUACAUCCUUAUUCAGCAGCAGCAGUGCAGUUGCCAGUAUGCCUUGACAUAACAGUUUUUGACCAGCUCCCAAGCUCAUAGAUCAUACUUUAGUCCUUGAAUAUAAACCUUGUGCUACUCGUGGCUUGCAUGCAAAUCACAUUUAAAUUGUGUUGGUAUCUUUGUGAGUGCAUCUCUCGAUAGCCAAGAAAUACAAAUAUUCUCUUGGAAUUAUUUAGUGAGUACUUAAUGUGCCGCUUGGAGAAUCUUCAUUCAUAAUAACAUCUCUAAAAUAUUUUCACACGAGGCUGUACGUUCUGUGCUGUGCUUUGUGGAUUGUGGUCUCUUCACCAGUCUUAACUAUACACAGACAGAUCCAGUUAUUCAUGUGUCACCAAACCUCUUACGCACAAGUUGUUCUUCCAUGGAGAGAGAAAGGAGUUGUAGCCACAAGCUGAUGUGCACAUGUGAAGAGAGGGGUGUGAGAUACAAGUGAGGGCAGAUGUAAUGGAGGAUGUGGUCCUGGGCUGUAAAGGAACACGGUAAUGAGCGGCAUCCCCAGGGGUCUGUCUUGGGACUGGUGCUCUUUAACAUCUUUAUCCAUGACAGCGGUGAUGGAAUCAAGUGCACCCUCAGCAAGUUUGCUGAUGACACCAAGCUGAGUGGCGCGGUUGACACAGCUGAAGGAAGGGAUGCCAUUCAGAGGGACCUCGAGAGGCUGGAAAGCUCUUCCUGCAUCACUUGAGUACAGCAACAUAGGAUGCAGCUGUGGGAGACCUGUGCGGGCUGUGAGAAUGGAGAUGCUGUGAGAGGGAGCAAGCUAAACAUCCUGUUGGUGUUAUGACUCACUUUCUGAUUUGACUUAAAAGCUUGAUAAACAGGAGGAGAAUUGAAGUGAGCCCUGCAGGACGUGAAGAGAGGUAGGAGGAAGACGUGGUGAGGAUGGGCUGAUCAGCAAAGAACACUGCUUGUUGUCUUCGGCAGCAUCAGAUUAGUUGAGCAAGCAAGGAGAAUGAAGACAAAGUAAAACACAGAGUUGACCAGAACAGCAUGUGCUAUCGUUUGGGUUUGUUUUUUUUUUUGGUGUGGUGGUUUGUUUGGAUUUUUUGUUUAGCUUUUGAAUGCCCAAAGGCUUUGUGUUCAUCUAUGAGCUGUGUAAUUGUGCCAUCUCAUGUGAAUGGGCUCAAACUUCAGUUGUAUAAACCAGAAAUAAUUUUUUCGCAGACACUUUGACUAGUUAUUCAAAAAUAAACCUGCAGUCUCUCUCAUUCCUGGGAAAAUACAGCAGUCACGUGUCUUACUAUUUUUUUGUCAGUACACAAAAUUGAUACAAAAUCUGGAGGCAGGAAGGGAAGCCAGCAUCGUGUGGUCUCUCAAGUCUCUGCAAGCUGCUGCUGGUCCAGGAGCUGUAGUAUGAAAGCAUUUGGCAUAAUACAGCUAGUAAGAUGAAAUACAGCCUCUUCAUCUCUGAAUUCUUAAUGACCAGAGGGCUCUGGCUUGGAAAGAAGAGAAGAAGCUUUAUUAGCAUAACAAAGUAGGGACUGCUAUGGAAGAUACAUUAGUGAGCACGAUUCAUAAAGAUAAUCCAGAAAGCAGUUAUUCUGAAGGUGGGCAGGUAGGCAGUAAGGUUAGUUGUCUGGGUAACCUGCUGUUAGAGGUUUCCCACAUCUUGCUGAAAACUGAAAUAUUGCAGGUUGGACGCGCUUGAUAAGGAAAAAAAUGCACAAAGAUGAUCUUAGGGAGCUGCAGAAACUUUGCUGCUAAGUAUUGCUAAUUUAUCAUCAGAAUAUAUUUGGAGGAAAUAGAAUAUAAUACUUUAGAUGUUCUGUCACUGGGCAGAAAAAUAUUUUCAUGCCUUGCACCAACAGAUUUUUAUUCAGCUGGGUUCUGUUUUUGCUUCCACAUUAAAAUAGAAAAAAUUUUGCUUGUGAUGAGAUUGCUUGACACGGGGGCUGAAAGGAGUGAUUGCCUACACUUAAUGCACUCCUAGUCCUUUUCUUGCAGGAACCCCAGGUUUACACUGGCAAAUUCUUUCAUCCUUUCUCCCUCAGUGACCUUUUUAUGUUGCAUCUCAGGGAGAACAAUAAUUGAUCACUUUGCUGUUAUGGGGUAGCUUUCCAAAAGGCAUGAAUUCCUCCCCCACUUCCCUUUAAAUUACAUUAAAAUUCAUUUGUGUGCCCACUCAUCUCAGUUAAAAACGUGUAAAUCAGCAUUUUUGUAGAAAGGAGAAGCAGGUGGGAUUUGAUCUCAUACAAAAGCUAAGUGCCAAGAAGGCAACUGGUUUCUUAUGUUGUUAUUAUGGGCUGCCAUGGCACUGGUGUUUCAGACAGGGCGUCUGACUUCUUUUGGGAUGGGCCUGUGAAGCAGUGAUGGAUGCAGCUCUGAGUGUGCUGGUUACAACUGCUCCUUCAGUGCUGCCUUCCAAGAAGGACUACGUUAAUUCUGGGUUGUAGUAUGUGAUGCAUGUGGAGAAAGAGCCCCUCUAUUACUUUAUAAGACGUGCCCGCUUCAUGAGACCAGUGCAUUUUCCCCCAUGUGUGGAAGCAGACUUAAGUGUAACCUUUUUUUUUUUCUUUUUCUUAACCUUUUUUCUGCAUAUAAACACAGAUAAAGGGUCCUUUCAUGUUGUCUGUGACUGCCAGGUCGGUCAGUGGAUUUGUUUUGUUGGGGUUUUCUUGUUUCUAGCUGGUCUUGCACAUCUGCUGGAACAAUUAAUA